CCUACGGGAGGCAGCAGUGGGGAAUAUUGCACAAUGGGGGAAACCCUGAUGCAGCGACGCCGCGUGAGUGAAGAAGGAAUUCGGUAUGUAAAGCUCUAUCAGCAGGGAAGAAAAUGACGGUACCUGAGUAAUAAGCUCCGGCUAACUACGUGCCAGCAGCCGCGGUAAUACGUAGGGGGCAAGCGUUAUCCGGAUUUACUGGGUGUAAAGGGAGCGUAGACGGCAGUGCAAGUCUGGAGUGAAAGGCGGGGGCUCAACCCCUGGACUGCUUUGGAAACUGUACGGCUGGAGUGCAGGAGAGGUAAGUGGAAUUCCUAGUGUAGCGGUGAAAUGCGUAGAUAUUAGGAGGAACACCAGUGGCGAAGGCGGCUUACUGGACUGUAACUGACGUUGAGGCUCGAAAGCGUGGGGAGCAAACAGGAUUAGAUACCCCUGUAGUC
rnacentral:rRNA from 1 species